rnacentral:rRNA from 1 species
GCGGGGCGGGGGCACGGGGGGCCUACGGGAGGCAGCAGUGGGGAAUAUUGCACAAUGGGCGCAAGCCUGAUCCAGCCAUGCCGCGUGAAUGAUGAAGGUCUUAGGGUUGUAAAAUUCUUUCCUCAGGGAAGAUAAUGACCGUACCCGGAGAAGAAGCCCCGGCUAACUUCGUGCCAGCAGCCGCGGUAAUACGAAGGGGGCUAGCGUUGUUCGGAAUUACUGGGCGUAAAGCGCACGUAGGCGGAUAUUUAAGUCAGGGGUGAAAUCCCGGGGCUCAACUUCGGAACUGCAUUUGAAACUGGGUAUCUUGAGAUCGGGAGAGGUGAGCGGAAUUCCGAGUGUAGAGGUGAAAUUCGUAGAUAUUCGAGGAACACCAGUGGCGAAGGCGGCUCACUGGUCCGAUACUGACGCUGAGNCGAAG